rnacentral:lncRNA from 1 species
AUAAAGGUUAAUUUUUAUUGUCUUAAAAGCAUAGUUAGUUAAUUCGGAUUCGGCAAAAAUUCAGUACGGGUAUAAUACGUAUAAAAUUUGUUUUCUAAUUUUUAAAUUCGUUGAAAAAUUCGGCUUAAAAAACGAAUUUGAUAUAAAAUAUAAAAUAUAAGAUAUAAAAUAUAAAAUAAUUUAUAUUUAAAAAUAAAAUUAUAAGUUUUUUAUUCAUAUUUUCAAUAAUUCGGCAAUAAUUCGUGAAUUAUUCGCGAAUAAUUCGACUGGCCCAAAAAUUCGCGAAUAAUUCUCUUUCUUUCGGAAAAAAUUCGUAAACAGACUGUUUAAUUCGGAUUUUUAAUAAUUCACGAAUAAUUCGCGAAUUUACUAACUAGGCUUAAAAGUGCAGAGAACGGAGAGAGGUAUUUUUUCUUGUUUUCUACCAACUUCG